rnacentral:rRNA from 1 species
GGCUCAGUAACACGUUGUAUAAUCUGCCCUUAGAUUCAGGAUAACCUUGGGAAACUGAGGCUAAAACUGGAUAGGGAAUCGAUACUGGAAGGUUCUUUUCCUCAAACGUAAGGUCUAAGGAUGAGUCAGCGGCUGAUUAGGUUGUUGGUGAGGUAAUGGCUCACCAAGCCAAAGAUCAGUAGGGGGGAUGAGAGUCCUAGCCCCGAGAAGGGCACUGAGAUACUGGCCCUAGCUCUAAGGAGUGCAGCAGGCGCGAAAACUUUACAAUGCGCGAAAGCGUGAUAAGGGUAUCCCAAGUGCUUUACUUAUGUAAGGCUUUUGCCAAGUGUAAGUAGCUUGGCGAAUAAGUGGUGGGUAAGACCGGGUGCCAGCCGCCGCGGUAACCACCGGCGCCACGAAGUGGUGGACCAUUUUUUAUUGGGUCUAAAGCGUCCGUAGCCCGGCUUAGUAAAUCCUUCUGUGAAAUCGUUGCGCUCAACGUAACGGCAUGCAGGAAAACCUGUUAGCUAGGACCGGAGGAGUCAAAGUAUUUCGGGGGACGUAAAAUGCUAUAUCCCGAAGACCCUGUGGCGAAGCGUCGACUAAACGAUCCGACGUGAGG